rnacentral:ncRNA from 1 species
AGAAAUGCAACGAGUAGUCAAAGUAAAUUCUAACCUUAAGAGAUCACCCGCACGGCUGAAAGGGUGAAACCAGAAUUGAAACACAGCUACCAGCAGUCAGUCUGAACGGGUCACGCUUAGUAGGAUUGAACGGACCUCGCCGUUAACCGGGGGGAGUUUUUUUGAAAACUCACUGAGGUAAUGGCUGUGAGGCCAUUACGAAGUUAGAGGUGGAACCACGCUAUUGAGUCGUCCUCGCA